rnacentral:lncRNA from 1 species
CUUACAAAGCACUAAUAAAAUGUCAGGCCUAUGGUGAAGGUGUGAAGCUAUACACUCAUUAUAUUAUUCUCAGAUGUCACUGAAAGUACAGUAGUUCACUGAAUAAGCUUAUGAAUGAAGCAGAGGCUCUCUUGCCACCAUCUCAAAUAUAUAAUCUGAAAAGGAGCCAGCACUAGGGAAGCACUGCAACCCCCAGCUGCCCAUAAAGUGGCAGCUUGUCUGCCUGAAUGGCUGGUUAAAAGGUCAGGUUCUAUACAGAGUCCAUGAUGUUACCUGGUAGCAUUCCUCAGCAAGAACCAACUGUGGCUAAGCACAGCAGAGUGAUUGGGAAGGUUGAUAUUCUUGUCUGUACGUUUAAGAGGGAUCUUACUGCCUGACCUUAUAUAAUAUGUGUGAAUAUUUCACAGCUCCAAUAUCAUGCCCACUAGCUGAAAUGAUUGCUGAGCUUUAAUCUUCAGUUUUUGAUAUGAGACAUGCUGCCCUUCUUGAGAAGCAAGACUGGAGCCAAACCUCUCUCCAAUGGUCACCUGGGUCUUUCAGUACUUUCAUAGGUAACCUGCUGAAUUUUGUGUGUUACAUCUUGAGGUCUGAGUACAGCACCAAAUGAAA